AUGGGAGAUUGUAUUGUUGGUCCACCGGGUGACAGGGGGUGUCCAGGGGCUGCUGGUGUGAGGGGUGUAAGAGGUCCAGCUGGUCUUCCUGGCCCGAAUAUGAUGGGGUCAGUUGGGCGACGGGGGCAACAAGGGUGCCAAGGACCUCAAGGCCAGACGGGACCUCCUGGUCCUAAAGGCGUUCAAGGUGAUACACUGCCCUGUGGACCUGGCAUACGUGGAGCCCCUGGUUGCAAAGGGAUGGCUGGUUGUAAAGGUAAAUAUAUAUUGAAAUAUUUUUUGUAUGAAAGCGUGAGACCUCUCUCAGAUUGGUUGAAAAAAAGACACAACUGAAAGAAUAAGAGUAGAGUACCUUAGAAGUGUACAUUUACCUCAAAGUCUUUUACAAAUUGUAUUAUAUUUUACAUACUUUUGCUCAUUGCGUGCCAAUUUUAAUUCUAGAUCUAGUUUGAUUAAUUAUAGAUUGCACUUUUGUGGUUAUAACUUGGUAAACUAUAUAAUCAGUAGAUUAAAAUGUGGAUAUUUUAUUGAUGGUAAUAAAAUUAAUUGAAAACGAUG
rnacentral:lncRNA from 1 species